GUUAGCUCAGUUGGUAGAGCAGUUGACUUUUAAUCAAUUGGUCGCAGGUUCGNNNACUAAACGCCGUUUCCUGCCUAACCUGCACUCUCA
rnacentral:tRNA from 1 species